rnacentral:tRNA from 1 species
GCGGGGAUGCCCGAGCUUGGCCAAAGGGGGCGGACUUAAGAUCCGCCGAUAAGAUAUCCGCUGGUGAAGACCUGCGUGGGUUCAAGUCCCACUCCCCGCA